AGGUUAAGCUACAAAGGGCGCAUGGCGAAUGCCUUGGCACUAGGAGCCGAAGAAGGACGCGUUAAGCUGCGAUAAGCUUUGGGUAGGCGCAAAUAGCCAGUGAUCCAAAGAUUUCCGAAUGGGGGAACCCACAUAGUAACAACUAUGUACUGCAUACUGAAUAAAUAGGUAUGCAGAGGUAGACCCGGGGAACUGAAACAUCUAAG
rnacentral:rRNA from 1 species